UACGUAGGGUGCGAGCGUUGUCCGGAAUUAUUGGGCGUAAAGAGCUCGUAGGCGGUGUGUCGCGUCGGUCGUGAAAACUUGGGGCUUAACUCUGAGCUUGCGGUCGAUACGGGCAUCACUGGAGUUCGGCAGGGGAGACUGGAAUUCCUGGUGUAGCGGUGAAAUGCGCAGAUAUCAGGAGGAACACCGGUGGCGAAGGCGGGUCUCUGGGCCGAUACUGACGCUGAGGAGCGAAAGCGUGGGGAGCAAACAGG
rnacentral:rRNA from 1 species